rnacentral:lncRNA from 1 species
CAGAACGGCCCUAAAAGUGAGUCUAAUGGCUAGUUUUCUAUGGGAAUUGCUUAAAUAGCCAGAUUGAACAGUAAUAGACCAGAAGUAAGAGACUCCAUUCAAUGAAAAAGAGAUUUCCACCUACCAAAGCCUCUCUAGAGUAAAUACAAGAGAAAGAAGGAAGAAGUGCAUUGAAGUCCAUCCUCCAAACAUCUUCCUCGCAUUCAAGGCUCUCCUUCUGACAGCAAAUCUUCAGCACAUUCAAGAGGAGUUGCAGAGUUUGAGAAGCCCCUUUCUCCACAUCCAAAAAUCUGUUUGAGGGCUUCUAACUCUUCUUUGUUCAUAUUGUUUAUAUACGCUUUUCAAGAAGCUAUCCUUGUACUCUUUUCAAACUGCUUUUCUUACUUGAUUCAAUCAGGGGAUUGAAUCAAGGGUGUCAAGGUUGGUUGGUGAGCCGAGGAUAAAACCAACGUGUAAGGGUUCGAUUGUGAUCCCGAAAAUACAAUCGGGUGGUUCUAGUCGGUGAGCCUGUGAAAACCGACCGAGUUCAUUGUGAUCUCGUAAAACAACAAGUUGGGUUGUGAGCUUGUAAAACAACCGGCUGUAAUCC